GGGAUAAGGGGUGCCACCAUCAGGUGGCCGCAGAGAAUAGGCCCAAGCGACUGUUUACCAAAAACAUAGGUUUCUGCUAAGUCGCAAGACGAUGUAUAGGAGCUGACGCCUGCCCGGUGCUGGAAGGUUAAGGGGAUCUGUUAGAGCAAUCGAAGCAGUGAACUUAAGCCCCAGUAAACGGCGGCCGUAACUAUAACGGUCCUAAGGUAGCGAAAUUCCUUGUCGGGUAAGUUCCGACCCGCACGAAAGGCGUAACGAUUUGGGCACUGUCUCAACAACAGACUCGGUGAAAUUGUAAUUCCGGUGAAGAUGCCGGAUACCUGCGACAGGACGGAAAGACCCCAUGGAGCUUUACUGUAGCUUGACAUUGGGUCUUGGUACUACAUGUACAGGAUAGGUGGGAGGCUUUGAAACCAGGACGCCAGUUUUGGCGGAGCCAUCCUUGGGAUACCACCCUUGUA
rnacentral:rRNA from 1 species